GUGGGGAAUCUUGCGCAAUGGGCGAAAGCCUGACGCAGCCAUGCCGCGUGAAUGAUGAAGGUCUUAGGAUUGUAAAAUUCUUUCACCGGGGACGAUAAUGACGGUACCCGGAGAAGAAGCCCCGGCUAACUUCGUGCCAGCAGCCGCGGUAAUACGAAGGGGGCUAGCGUUGCUCGGAAUUACUGGGCGUAAAGGGCGCGUAGGCGGACAGUUUAGUCAGAGGUGAAAGCCCAGGGCUCAACCUUGGAAUUGCCUUUGAUACUGGCUGUCUUGAGUACGUGAGAGGUGAGUGGAACUCCGAGUGUAGAGGUGAAAUUCGUAGAUAUUCGGAAGAACACCAGUGGCGAAGGCGACUCACUGGCCCGUUACUGACGCUGAGGCGCGAAAGCGUGGGGAGCAAACAGGAUUAGAUACCCGAGUAGUCC
rnacentral:rRNA from 1 species